UUUCUACCCAAACUUGAGAAAGAAGAAAAUAGGAGUUUACCAAGGAACUGUCCAAUAAAGGUGACAUGUUUGUUUCAGUGGAUCCACAAGGACCAGAAGCUUCCCAGUUUCUGGGAAGGAGGAGGGACUGGACUCCGCUCUUCGGAGUCGGGGGCGGGGUUGGAAUGUUGGGCCCUCGUUGCUCUCUGGCGCCCUCUUGUGGUCAGGUCGUGGUGGCAAGCACACCUCCGCGAAGCUGCCUCAGGAGCCGACAGGAAGCCCAAGGGUUGAAUCAGAACGGAGAACAGUCUCUUUAUUACCUUGUGGGGUAAACUUCUCAUCUUAGUCAGACUCUGAGGAGAAGGAGAGCCCCAGAGGAAACUGAAGGGGCCUAGGGCAACAAAGUUUUUCACGCUGACGAGGCAGAAUGCAGGAAGCUGUGGCUCAGGCCUUGCUGGUCUCGAAACAAAAAUGUAUAAAUACAUUAAAAUCUAUGUGGAACAUGGGCUCUUGGUGGAGUGGUGUGUUACACAAGGGAUUCAACAUAUUCUGAGGGCAUCUCUUCUACUCGUUUUCAGUUUCUUGCUAAAAUAGCAUCAUUAAGGUCCCUAGGUAAUCCGGUGCUGGAAGAGUAGAUCGGGAUCUGCUUAAUGGAAACGUGUUUGCUGGUUCGCCACGUGGUUUGUAGUGUCCGGGGCUUGCUGGGGCUGUUGGAAACGGUCACAAACAGGGAGCUAGCCGCCUGAAUGGGUAGCACUUGACCCUUUACGAAGCCCUUUGCCUACGUCAUCAUUAGCCGCCCCAGGAUGCUGUGAGACCAGAGGGAGGCGCUGUCGUAUGCUUGCCAAGGUGCCCCCUGGCCCUUCGGAGUCUCACCCUUCCUUCCCGGCUCCUUACUCCCUGGGAAGGGCGCCUGGCGCCUUUUCUUCUGUUUCCAAUAGCAAUCACUGUACUUGUUCACGUACAAAAAUAGCUCACUUGUCGGAGCUGCACGCGGACUGGGGCCACGGAAAUUCCGUGAGUGAAAGAACGGGUCAGAGAACUGUCUUUGGGUUUCGAGAGCUUCACUGUCAUAGUUAUCUCAAGUUCACACCCAUUCCCUGGAGGUAGCAACAUGCCAGAAAACAUUCUGCCUUUGAAGAACAAAAGUACAAAGAUGCUCUGACAACUGAAGGUUAUAGUUCUGCACCACUGCUUAUCAUGCGCUGCAUUUGGAAAUAGGGCCCAGAGUAGACAGUCACCUUCCCCAGUCUAUUUCUUUAGCACCGUCCCAUUGAGCGUCACCUGCUGGGUAAGACUUAACAAGAUGUGUCUGUUGGCCUGCACAAGACCUGGCUGACUUGAGCCCUGUGUGUCAGGAAGCAGAUCAAAAGUGGGCUUUGUGAUGGUUGAAC